AAUAAAGCCAAGGCGAAAUCACACGAGUCCCUAUUCCACUCGAUAAGGAAGUCGAAGCAUCAACAUUCAACCGGACACUCCCUCCAACCGGCGGCAACCAUCGGGCGUUCCUCUCACCGUCGUCAUAAAAAAUGCAUCCAGUCACCCUUUCCACGCCUCUCUUCGGAUGAAACUGCUGACAAAAAUCUAAAAAAUAGGUCACCACCUUGUCGGGCAAUCUCGUCAGAUCUCGCACUGGUCUAUCCCAAAGGACGGCGUUCCGGUCAGUCCACAAACGCCAACACCCCACACAAAACUUCUCCAACUCAGUUCACGACAACUCCGCAGUUCGGAAGCAAAUUUCUUCAAACGAAGCACCCACCCCAUCAAUUUUCAUCACAGGAUGAUGGAACGCCCUCCAAAGAUAGAAUGCUCGUUUACGACUAAAAAAGGAGCAAGUGAAUCAAAUCCAUGAUAGUGAGGUAUCUUCACUAUCCCAAUCAAUUAUUUGGAUUUGGGGUGGAUCAAGAUACUCUGGUCUACUGUGUGCUUCUCUAUCCUCCAUCUUCUACUUUGCCAUGGAAGUUCUGAUGGGUGUUUUUUCUAGUUGUGUCUAUUUUUGUAGCUAUCGCAGAAAUCGAACGCAUGCGGUGCGUACAUCGCAUGGAAGUUGCGGCCAUCAACCGAAUGCAUCCAUCGCAUGGAAGUUGCAGCUAUCUUCAUCACUUGGAGAUUGCGGCCACGGAGUGAUGACCUAAAUAGAAGUGUGACCGUAAGAUGGGUGGAAUGCAUUGAUACUUCAGUUGAAUCAAGCUCGAACGUAUACUUUAGGAGUAUCAAUAAGAUAAGAUGAUGUGAUAUUGCCCAUAUCGCGACAAAGGCAGCAGCGAGACAUAACGCAAUCAUGAUUGCUGUCAGCGUUUGAACUCUAUAAAUAGCCCUUGGACCUUCACUUCAAAUCAUCAGAAUUUCUGCCUUCAGGUAGAGGUUUGCGAUCACAUAUGAGAUCAUGAGCGAGAUUUUCGUGAGGAUUCUUCAUCCCCAUAAACCAGUCCGAGUGACGAUCGGAGCUUUUGCCGGAGAUAGAGCUCGAGAGAGACGUCUCCACCAUCCAUCCAUGGCACCACUAGCAGUUUUGAUGCAGAGUCUUUCAUUUCUUCUUUGAUCUCUAUAUCGU